UUACAGAUACAAGAAAAGUCUCCUCACACUUUCUGUCUGUCUGACUGUGGUAGCCCAGAUUGAACGGGGGAAUACAGGG
rnacentral:snoRNA from 1 species